rnacentral:rRNA from 1 species
CCUACGGGAGGCAGCAGUGGGGAAUAUUGCACAAUGGGGGGAACCCUGAUGCAGCGACGCCGCGUGAGGGAAGAAGGAUUUCGGGAUGUAAAGCUCUAUCAGCAGGGAAGAAAAUGACGGUACCUGACUAAGAAGCCCCGCCUAACUACGUGCCAGCAGCCGCGGUAAUACGUAGGGGGCAAGCGUUAUCCGGAUUUACUGGGUGUAAAGGGAGCGCAGACGGAUGUGCAGGUCUGGAGUGAAAGGCGGGGGCCCAACCCCCGGACUGCUCUGGAAACUGUAAAGCUGGAGUGCAGGAGAGGUAAGCGGAAUUCCUAGUGUAGCGGUGAAAUGCGUAGAUAUUAGGAGGAACACCAGUGGCGAAGGCGGCUUACUGGACUGCAACUGACGUUGAGGCUCGAAAGCGUGGGGAGCAAACAGGAUUAGAUACCCCUGUAGUC